CUAACAGUGCAGCAUGUGAAACUUUGGGGGACACACUUAUACCAUAUCCAAACUCUAGCACUCACACACAAAUUCUCCAAAGUGAAAAUGAAGAUGCAGUGAGGAUUAAUGACUCACGUGUCCUGCUUCCUGCUCUACUGAGAAAGUGGGAGGAGCUGGAGUAAGCUUCUUGUCCUUCUUUGCAGCACUGAUGCUACUUGUGUCUUCUGAGCUCAGGGUCCAGCACAGCAUAGCUGGGAACACCGUCCACCACGGGAUGAAGCUGAGGAGGAAGGUUGAAGAUUUUUCCUGGUUAUCUGUGAGUGGAAAUUAUGAUUGUUGUAAAGAAGUAACAACUUUGGAAACAUGGAGGGUGUCCCUUGUAUAUCCUCCAUGUGCUUUUGAAUCCAAUUGCUGGCACCUGUGACUUCCUGUGAACACUGCUUUCAGGCUACUGGAGCAACUUUUCUGGGAAGUUCAGAGAGAAGGAAGUGCCUGGAAUUUACCUUCCCUAUGUCCCAUCUGAG
rnacentral:lncRNA from 1 species